rnacentral:rRNA from 2 species
UCGGAUUGUAGUCUGCAACUCGACUACAUGAAGCUGGAAUCGCUAGUAAUCGUAGAUCAGCAUGCUACGGUGAAUACGUUCCCGGGUCUUGUACACACCGCCCGUCACACCACGAGAGUUUGUAACACCCGAAGCCGGUGGAGUAACCUUUUAGGAGCUAGCCGUCGAAGGUGGGACAAAUGAUUGGGGUGAAGUCGUAACAAGGUAGCCGUAUCGGAAGGUGCGGCUGGAUCACCUCCUUUCUAAGGA